UUUCCGUAGGUGAACCUGCGGAAGGAUCAUUAAUGUGUUUGGGCCUCACGGCUCUUCAUUCCGACGCUGUGCGCCUUCGGGCUGCACGCUGAGGGAGCAUAUAUCCACCCCUGUGCACACACACGGUGGCGAGCUGGGUAACGGCUCGCCGCUGAUCUUUACACACGUCUAAAAGUCGUUGUAUGUUUAUUUGAGAUAAAAACACAACUUUCAGCAACGGAUCUCUUGGCUCUC
rnacentral:misc_RNA from 1 species